rnacentral:rRNA from 1 species
UAGGGAAUCUUCCACAAUGGACGCAAGUCUGAUGGAGCAACGGCCGCGUGAGUGAAGAAGGUUUUCGGACCGUAAAGCUCUGUUGUUGGUGAAGAAGGAUAGAGGUAGUAACUGGCCUUUAUUUGACGGUAAUCAACCAGAAAGUCACGGCUAACUACGUGCCAGCAGCCGCGGUAAAUCGUAGGUGGCAAGCGUUGUCCGGAUUUAUUGGGCGUAAAGCGAGCGCAGGCGGAAGAAUAAGUCUGAUGUGAAAGCCCUCGGCUUAACCGAGGAAUUGCAUCGGAAACUGUUUUUCUUGAGUGCAGAAAGAGGAGAGUAGAACUCCAUGUGUAGCGGUGGAAUGCGUAGAUAUAUGGAAGAAUACCAGUGGCGAAGGCGGCUCUCUGGUCUGCAACUGACGCUGAGGCUCGAAAGCAUGGGUAGCGAACAGGAUUAGAUACCCUGGUAGUCCAUGCCGUAAACGAUGAGUGCUAAGUGUUGGGAGGCUUCCGCCUCUCAGUGCUGCAGCUAACGCAUUAAGCACUCCGCCUGGG